UACGUAGGCAGCGAGCGUUGUUCGGAGUUACUGGGCGUAAAGGGUGUGUAGGCGGUCUUUUAAGUUUGGUGUGAAAUCUCCCGGCUCAACCGGAGGGUGCGCCGAAUACUGAGAGACUUGGAGUGCGGGAGAGGAAAGUGGAAUUCCUGGUGUAGCGGUGAAAUGCGUAGAUAUCGAGGAGGAACACCGAUAGCGAAGGCAGCUGCGCUGGACGGUACUGACGCGUGAGGCGCGAAAGGCG
rnacentral:rRNA from 1 species